rnacentral:rRNA from 1 species
AGUGAACGCUGGCGGUAGGCCUAACACAUGCAAGUCGAACGGCAGCACAGGAGAGCUUGCUCUCUGGGUGGCGAGUGGCGGACGGGUGAGGAAUACAUCGGAAUCUACUCUGUCGUGGGGGAUAACGUAGGGAAACUUACGCUAAUACCGCAUACGACCUACGGGUGAAAGCAGGGGACCUUCGGGCCUUGCGCGAUUGAAUGAGCCGAUGUCGGAUUAGCUAGUUGGCGGGGUAAAGGCCCACCAAGGCGACGAUCCGUAGCUGGUCUGAGAGGAUGAUCAGCCACACUGGAACUGAGACACGGUCCAGACUCCUACGGGAGGCAGCAGUGGGGAAUAUUGGACAAUGGGCGCAAGCCUGAUCCAGCCAUACCGCGUGGGUGAAGAAGGCCUUCGGGUUGUAAAGCCCUUUUGUUGGGAAAGAAAUCCAGCUGGCUAAUACCCGGUUGGGAUGACGGUACCCAAAGAAUAAGCACCUGCUAAUCUCGUGCCAGCCGCCGCAGUAA